ACAGGCACCUAUCGAAGCCUCCCUGUUCUCUUGUAGCAGUAACGAUCAAAAGGAUGCCAAAAACAUAACUUUCACCGACAGUUGCUGUGCCGUUCGACCUUAACUGAUUCAUCAACAUUAAGGGGAAUCCCACUU